GAGCGGCCCGGCCUUCUGGGUACCGAGCGGCGAACGGGUGAGUACACGUGAGCAAUCUGCCCUUAGCUCUGGGAUAGCUCCGGUGAAACCGUGAAUUAAUACCGGACAUGACCACACUAUACAUCUUCUGUGGUGGAAAGGAUUCCGGCUAGGGAUGAGCUCGCGGCCUAUCAGCUUGUUGGUGGGGUAAAGGCCUACCAAGGCGACGACGGGUAGCCGGCCUGAUAGGGCGAUCGGCCUCUCUGGGACUGAUACACGGCCCAUACUCCUACGGGAGGCAGCAGUGGGGAAUAUUGCGCAAUGGGCGAAAGCCUGACUCAUCGACUCCGCGUGGGGGAUGAAGGCCUUCGGGUUGUAAACCCCUUUCAUCAGGGACGAUUCGAAAUGUGACGGUACCUGCAUAAGAAGCGCCGGCUAUCUACGUGCCAGCAGCCGCGGUAAC
rnacentral:rRNA from 1 species